AGUUUACUACUUUGCCGGCGAGCGGCGGACGGGUGAGUAAUGUCUGGGAAACUGCCUGAUGGAGGGGGAUAACUACUGGAAACGGUAGCUAAUACCGCAUGACCUCGCAAGAGCAAAGUGGGGGACCUUCGGGCCUCACGCCAUCGGAUGUGCCCAGAUGGGAUUAGCUAGUAGGUGGGGUAAUGGCUCACCUAGGCGACGAUCCCUAGCUGGUCUGAGAGGAUGACCAGCCACACUGGAACUGAGACACGGUCCAGACUCCUACGGGAGGCAGCAGUGGGGAAUAUUGCACAAUGGGCGCAAGCCUGAUGCAGCCAUGCCGCGUGUGUGAAGAAGGCCUUCGGGUUGUAAAGCACUUUCAGCGAGGAGGAAGGCAGUCGUGUUAAUAGCACGAUUGAUUGACGUUACUCGCAGAAGAAGCACCGGCUAACUCCGUGCCAGCAGCCGCGGUAAUACGGAGGGUGCAAGCGUUAAUCGGAAUUACUGGGCGUAAAGCGCACGCAGGCGGUUUGUUAAGUCAGAUGUGAAAUCCCCGCGCUUAACGUGGGAACUGCAUUUGAAACUGGCAAGCUAGAGUCUUGUAGAGGGGGGUAGAAUUCCAGGUGUAGCGGUGAAAUGCGUAGAGAUCUGGAGGAAUACCGGUGGCGAAGGCGGCCCCCUGGACAAAGACUGACGCUCAGGUGCGAAAGCGU
rnacentral:rRNA from 1 species